GCAAGUUUAAUAUUAUAUGAUGUUGAUUCUGUCUUUCUCGCUUUGGAAUUUAAGUUUCAGUACAUGUUUCCUUAUAAAGAUGUACAUGAUUUUUUUGUUCUGUACUUUGAUGUGUCCAGGGUUACAUUUGGACCAUACGAAGAAAAAAGUAACUACAGAGUUACAAAACUGCAUGGUAAGAAAAUACUUACUGAUGAGUUGAAUCAAGUGGGUGAUAGCUGAAGAUUCAUAACAAAAAAAAAAAGCAACCGUCUGUGGAUAAGGCACUCAUACCAUAGAAGCUAUAGAAAAACUCUCAGCAAUGAACAAGCCCUCAAUUGGAGAUAAUUCACAAUUGCGACGGUGUCAUGUGAUGGACCUCUAAUAAGUAAAUUCACAUGCCCCUUUGUCAGUCUCCAAAAGACACAUAGGUAAUCUUCGCUACCUCACAUUAUAUUCAUGAUGUAGACAUUUAGGUGAUUUUUACCAUUUAUUUAGUUGGAAUGAUUUAUUGACAGGCAUCGGAAGAAAUGGUGGGUUUACACGUUCACAAAAGAAUGAUAAGAAAUCUGAAUAGUAGUAAAUAUUCGUACAUAUGCUUUUGAUUAUUGACUGGCUGAAUAUAAGAAAAUUUAUUACAUUUUCAGGGCUCUAAAUGUUUACUUCAACAACCUUACCGAAGUCAACCUUGAUUUGGAGCUGACAAGAAGGUGGAGAAUAACUUCCAGUAGCUGUGGCCGUGAAGUCGCAUUACUUGGUUGUUACAAUGCGAGUUGCAAGAAUACAUAUGCAAAACUGAUGCCAGGAUGUAGAUGGGACAAUGUAAGUAUUGCAUAAGAUUAUAUAGAAGCUCUAUAUGAUAGUCCCUUAUACGGGUUUUUAACACCUUUUCUUUUCAAAAUGUAAACGUUAUAAUCCUAUACCCUUCAGAUGCAUCCUAUAAGUUUCCCUGUGAAGAGACUAAUCCAAAAGAAGAAAAAUGCAAGCGUAUUCCCACUAAAUGGUAAUGUCAUUUUCAUUUGUUGGUAGGAGUUAUGAGGAGAUUUUUAUUUUUUAAAAUACAGUACUUACAGUAACUUUAUCUAUCUAUGUAUCUUCUCUGGGCCACUAACACUCUCCGCCUAAUGAAGUAUUCUAACAUCAUUGAGCUCAAGAGCAAGCAUUUUUCACGGAUUACCCAUGAAAUUGGUUCUAUGUUGUUCAGGACUUACCGAUGAAUGAGUAUGUAUACUUCUUUUUACCCUUUUGUUUCAUAAAAACCUUGACUCUGAAAAACAAAUUACAUGAAUGGAUGGCUUUGGAUUACAUGGUGUGAUUUCGAAAUUUUCUGAACUGUCUGGAGUUCACUACAAGAGAUCAGUAAAAAAGCCACCCAUUUUUCUGUUGCUAAAAGGGACAAUCUGUAGCAAAAAAACAAAAAGCAACGGAUGGCAACAGAUAGAAGCAGUGGCCUCAGCGUCCACGCUAAUUGUGAGUCGUAGCCAAUUUGUAUCUAGCUUGCAACACAUUAGCGGGAACAAUGGCCAUAGCUAAUUGCAUUAUCCGUUGCUCAUUUAGCAACGUUGUGGGCGAAGGAUUUUCGUAUCUAAUAGCUAUAAUGUUUAACUACAAUCUAUCCUUAGCAAAGUUGUAGCGGAUAUAUAGCUACAAAUUUUAUUGAAAAUGUUAGAUUCCAAAUUAGCAACAGGCAGAACUUUGGUUAAUGUCAUGGCCAAACAAUUUAUAACGCAUGAAGAUAUUUCGUAACAAUACAAAACAAAACCAUAAUUGUAUUAUAAGAUGAAAUCUCAAAAUCUCAAACAUAGUCAAAAAUAUCUGAUGUCAAACUUUUUAUACUCAUACACAAACAAAAAGCUAAAACCAAUAACUGAAAUCUAAAAACAACAAAAC